rnacentral:rRNA from 1 species
GACGAACGCUGGCGGCGUGCUUAACACAUGCAAGUCGAACGGAAAGGCCCUGCUUUUGUGGGGUGCUCGAGUGGCGAACGGGUGAGUAACACGUGAGUAACCUGCCCUUGACUUUGGGAUAACUUCAGGAAACUGGGGCUAAUACCGGAUAGGAGCUCCUGCUGCAUGGUGGGGGUUGGAAAGUUUCGGCGGUUGGGGAUGGACUCGCGGCUUAUCAGCUUGUUGGUGGGGUAGUGGCUUACCAAGGCUUUGACGGGUAGCCGGCCUGAGAGGGUGACCGGCCACAUUGGGACUGAGAUACGGCCCAGACUCCUACGGGAGGCAGCAGUGGGGAAUAUUGCACAAUGGGCGGAAGCCUGAUGCAGCAACGCCGCGUGCGGGAUGACGGCCUUCGGGAUGUAAACCGCUUUCGCCUGUGACGAAGCGUGAGUGACGGUAAUGGGUAAAGAAGCACCGGCUAACUACGG